rnacentral:rRNA from 1 species
AUGGGUCUCGUCUCAGGUGCUCUCCAAUGGUGGGAGGAGUGGCAGCUGCGUGUCCUGGUGCUCAGCAGCCUGUGUGUCCAGUUCCUCCUCUUCUUCUCCAUCUGGGUGCGCCGAGUCCCCGCCCUACGCAGGUUGAGGGUGGUGGUGUGGAUGGCGUACUUAGGAGGCGACGCACUGGCCAUCUAUGCCCUUGCCACCCUCUUCAACCGACAUCGGCAGCGGACGACGGAUGUGGUGGGUGAGAGCAGGAGCAGCAGUGGCCUGGAGGUGAUAUGGGCUCCUGUUCUCCUCAUCCAUCUGGGUGGCCAAGUGACAUUGAGCGCCUUCAGUAUGGAGGACAACGAGUUGUGGCUUCGACAUGUCAUAACUCUGGUGUCUCAGGUCACCGUCUCCUUGUACGUUUUCUGCAGGUGGUGGUCCGGAGAGCAGAGGCUGCUGCAGACGGCAAUUAUUCUCUUCGUCUUUGGCAUCCUCAAAUUUAGCAUCAAGCCAUGGACUCUCAGGAGAGCUAGCUAUAGCCAGAUGUUGGCUUCGACCGAUGUCUCCCUAGGAAAAGGGGGACGAAAAAGAGGUCGCGGGAAUAAGGAAGAAGACGCCCUUUCCCUUGAUGAAUAUGUGACACAAGCAAAGGAGACGAUGCGUUGUGAUCAAGAAGCUGAUGAACCCACAGUGAAGGAUAAGGCAGCGACGAGAAGUGAUGGAGAUCCCGGGCCGUUGUCAAUCAACAGUAUCGAUUACUUUGUGGAUAUGUCCGCUCCGUACGGUGGUCGGCUAGGUGACCUGCGAUACUUCCAGCAGAGGAAGAAGGAGACGACGACUGAUGCAUCAUCCAAGAUAUUGCAAGCUCACUUCAGUUAUAUAUUCUUUCUCCUGUACAACAAAGUCAGGGCACUCAAUGCCACCGCGUAUCAGUUGGUGCUUUGGCUUCCAUUCCUGGCUUUAGCUUCUGUGGUCCUCUUCGCCACGAGCCACAAGGACGGUUACAACAGCACGGAUGUCAAGGUGACAUACAUCCUCUUCUCUUGCACUGCUCUGCUGGAGUUCUUGUUUCCUUUGUCGUUCCUUGUCUUACCAUUCAUUCCUCGCCUAAGAUUUCUCGUCAUGUAUAUGGAAGAAUGGCAUUUCAUGAUUUCCCAGUACGAUCUCAUGUCCUUCUAUGUUCGCAAGAAGAAACCCACCUUCCUCAUGAAUAUUGUUUUCUUCAAAUGUCUAAGGGAGUAUGUUAACAAGGUUUGGUAUGUAAGGCACGUGUCUGCAGCUUGCGAGAUUACAGAGCUGGUUCAACUACACAUAGAAGAUGGAUGGAAGACGUUCAUAAAUGAUGCCUCCACGUACAGGAGGUUCAGCGACUUAAGGGGCCAGCUGACUCUGAAGAAGCACCAACAGCCUGGCCUUGGAGAGGAGUUGUGGGGUAGCUUCAAGGUGCCAUUCGACAAGAGUAUCCUUCUUUGGCACAUCGCCACGAAUCUUUGCUUUCACCGCUCUGUGGACAAGCCAUCAUCCUUCCCUCGAGGACAAAGCCGUCUUACACGACGCAGUUUGGAGAUGUCCGACUACAUGUUUUACUUGCUUUUCAUCCGUACUGAGAUGCUAUUGCCCGGCACCAGACCGGGUCUCUCCACCGUCGCGGUAUAUGAUCUAGAGGACAUCUUGAAGAACAGCAAUGCAAAUGUCGAGGAUGAAGAAGCACUUGCUCAAGAGAUAGUUAAACACACAACCGGGGAUACCCUGAUUCAUGAAGCUUGCAGGCUUGCUGUGUCACUAAUGAAGCUGCAGGAAGAGGAGAUGUGGCAGAUAAUCCAGGGCAUGUGGGUGGAGAUGCUCUGCUACUUGGCUAGUAGAAGCAGAGGGUUCCUGCACCCCAAGAGCCUGGGUGAAGGCGGGGAAUACCUCUCCUAUGUCUGGCUCCUUUGGUCAUGCAUGGGGAUGCAGACCUUGGCAGACAAGAUCCACAAGCCCGAAUCUCCGGAAGAAAAAGAGAUCCUUGCCACGGCCAAAGAAUGGGCUUCUCCAUCCAACGGCAGACUCAAUCACGAAACUUCAACCACACGUAUCCUUAGCCUGGUGUGA